UUGUUUAAAACAAAGAAAGCAGCAGUCACCACCUACUAUAGGAAGGGAGAGGGAAGGGAGAGGCACUGUCUGGGAGGUGAGCACCAUCUGAGGGGCUGAGCAGACCCUAGAGCCAAACAGGGUAAAGCCAACCAGCUUGGAGGCUGGGUGUCCCUCUGACCCUACUGCAGGCACCUCCCACAUCAGCCCUUCCUGGGGUACCCUGAGGUGAGGGAUGAGGAAGGGCCUGAGCCUCCUGCUCACAGUCUACCUAGUACCGGUGUUCCCACCUGUGCAAUACCCCCUCACCCCCUAGGUAGCAGGGUCUGUAGCCCCUUACAUGGCCACCCUGCUCCACAGGCCCUGGUGACCUCCACAGGACUCUCCCAGAGAAACACACACAUAUCCCUAAAGUGGGGAGCUGGCUGGCUGGGGCAGGUGAGUACUAAAGAAGCCAAAGGAAGCCGCAGUUGCUCAGGGAGUCAGAGCCUAGGCAGCUGUAGGUUUGCAGACCAGAGGAGGAGGAACCGAGAGUGCAAAUAUGUGCAGGAACGGGAGAGGCUACGGGUUAUCGACCACAGUUUCACUGGGACGCGGCCCAAGCUGAGGAAGGGGGAGGCUGGGAGGCUGGCUAGAACUGGCCUUUGCUGCCCAGAGGCGGGCCCAGCCCAGACAACGGGCUCCCUCUGCUGGACGUCCAACCUAUAGGCAAGGAGAAGCAGGGUAGGGGGAAAGUGGCUUAUGUUCCCAGCUUCCCUCUGUUCCGGAGAGGGUGGGGUGGGGGCAAGACCAGACCAGGACAAACGUUAACAUGAAUAUCAUGCAUGGCUGACAGGCAUUUAUUACAGAUUUGGCACAGUCACUGAAGGCCAGAGGGCUCAAAAGGAAUAGCUGAGACCAGACCCAACACUUGGGGGGAUGCAUAGCCCCAAAUAACACGGGUGGGGUGCAGCCCUUCAUGCACAAGCAUAAAAGCGAGAACUCCCAAUCACAGCACAACGAAAAGGGCAAGGUAGGUAGGGGCACCCAGUGCCCUCCUGCAGGUGGCCAUGGGGUCAGCAGGCCUUAAUCCAGGAGAGGCUGCCCUUGGAGAGCACUAUCAGUACCAGACUGAAGCGCACGCCCAUACGGUCAUAUAGUCGUAAGCAGUCUACGGAGUGGCAAGUUCAAUGUCAACCAGCACAAAUAAGUGUCAGUUCUCUGACUCUGGCUUAGUCAUAGCAAACAUUUACCCAGCCUGGCUCCACUUUGUAGCCAGCAGGCUGCUUACUCAUCCAGGCUGCCCCUGGUCAGAGUCUUGUGCUCAAGAAAAGCAAAUACAGUUCAGUUCAGCACAGCACUCAGCUGCGGGGUCUCAGAGGAUCCCAGACCGCGAGGGCGAGAGGUCACUGGUUUUAGAGACUGAGGCCAGUGCACUGGUCAGCUGUCGUGUGAAAAUGCAGGAUAGGAUUAGGUGGGCCUGGGGUGGGCCCAAAGGUCUGCAUCUCUAAGGAACUCAGAGCGACUGCUGGCUCACGGACCACCCGGUGAGUAGCAAGGAUGUAGACCAGGAAGUCUCAAGCUUUGUGGCACAGAAUUCCCUGGGGAACUUUUACAUAUCCCAAUGCCCAGGCUCCAUUUAGAUCAGUUAAACCAGCUCGGAGGGCAGGGCCUAGAUGUCAGGAUUUUAAAAGCUCCCUAAUUCCAGAGUGGGUAAAAACCAGUGAUCCCAGGAAUCAUCAGGGGAGUAGGGGGAGGGGAUGUAUGAGUAGUCUGAGAAGCAUAAUCUCUAAAAUAAUUUAAUAUUUGGAAAAAGAAAUAUCUGUGUGUGGAGUGUGAAGCUUGAUUAAAAUCUUCCUGGUCUGUAAAUACCUGUAUAUGAAUCCCUUCUAUAAAAUCCCUAAUUGACUAGGAUCGAAUAGUUCUAGUGAUUAAAUAUCCACUACCUAAUAGACAGCCCACUCACUCUUAAGUAGUUCUGAUUGUUUGAAAUCACUCCCCCUACUAAGA